ensembl:misc_RNA Metazoa_SRP Metazoan signal recognition particle RNA
GCCGGGCGCGGUGGCGCGCGCCUGUAGUCCCAGCUACUCGGGAGGCUGAGGCCGGAGGAUCGCUUGAGUCCAGGAGUUCUGGGCUGUCGUGCGCUAUGCCGAUCGGGUGUCCGCACUAAGUUCGGCAUCAAUAUGGUGACCUCCCGGGAGCGGGGGACCACCAGGUUGCCUAAGGAGGGGUGAACCGGCCCAGGUCGGAAACGGAGCAGGUCAAAACUCCCGUGCUGAUCAGAAAUGUCGGCUUCGAGAAGACAUGUUAGUAGCUUGACUUUGGCCAUAGUGGAAGCAGUU